UUUCAGUGUCUGCAAAACUGCUCAAAGGGCAUGGCUCAAAAUAUUAUUUAUAGCCCUUGCGGAGGAACUAAAGCUCCUUGACUUUGUUUAAAGUAUUAUUAUUUUGCCUUAACUGUUUUCCUUUGCUUCUGCAUUCCCUCACUUCUCUGAUCAAAUUUAUGCCUUGGAAUUCGGGGAAGGCCUAGGAAGCUAAAGUUUUUCUACAAACAAGAGGCAGGCUGAGGACCUUGGGGCAGGGCUCUGUCCCAGGAGGCCCCAUAGGGUCCUGCUUGGUUACAAUCCUGUGGGACACUGAAGAUUUGUGCAUUUCGUUGUAUGUAGAUUUUAAUCUCAAAAGAAAAAAGGAAUUGUAAACAAAUUGAACUGUAGUUAUGAUAAACAUGUCGAAACAUGGGGGAGCGCAGAGAUGUCUGCAGCUUACUUUCCGAAGCAUCAAAUGCCAUAAAAUAGGUUGAUGGGUGUCAGAGGGGUGGGGAGAUGGACAGAUACGCAAUCGAGUGCGUGUAGACUCACACAAGGGUGGGGGGUACCCAGGUGUUCUCUGCAGACUCUUCAGCUCUUCCCUAUAUUUGAAGGCAUUUACGAUAAAAUGUUGGAAAAAAUCAAUUGUAAAGUAAUUGAUAAUAAACUUCUCUAUUUUUGGAGAAGUCCAGAGGGAUUUGCUUUGCAGCGGCCAGCGGGAGGGCAUGAGCACUUGGAUGCCUGGGGGUUUCUGUCACCCCGCACUGUGCUGGGUACCGUGGGUGGAUGAUGCUUGCAGAUCUGCAAGUUUCUGAGACAAGUGCUGCUUGUAAGUCUCUGGGUCUAGAUCAGGUGUCAGGUCCUGAUGUGGAGGCUGAGAUUUCCCCAUGAUUCUUGAGUUCCCAUGAUUCUUGUCUCUGGGGAUUUUGCAGACUAGGCAGGAGGUCAAAAUACCCGUACAAGGAAGAGCUAAUUGCCCCAGGCGUGGUGUUUUGUAGGAAUGUCGCCUGGGCUCUGGAGGUGGGAAAGUGAAUAGGGGCUGGGCCAGCCAGCCGAGGCUGCCGGAAGCUGUAGGAUGGGAAGGCCAGGGGAGGGUGUCCCUGCACAGGAACUGCAGGGCCAGGGCCAGUGUGGGAUGUGUGGGGAGACCAAGGGCCAGGCUGGAUCAAAUAGAGGUGGGAACUAGGGGUUCCAUGGGUUGGAGGUAGAUUUGAAAAGGCUCUGAAAGUCAGGGCUGAGGGCAGUCUCAAAAUAUCAGGCCACAGGGAGCCAUGGAUGGUUCUUGAGCAGGAGAGGCCUGGGGGUGGUGCAGGGCUGGGCACAGGGUAUGGUUAGAGGAACCAGAAGAUGAGCAGUGGGAGAGGAAGAAGGUGGCCUCUGAGGAAGGAGCCCUAGUGGCCCAGCUGGGGGUGGAGGACCAAGAGGAGCCAGGGCUUAGGUCUGGACCCACGUGGAUUCCUUCCUGGCCCCUAAGAGGCUGGCCUUCAGCUGCCUCUGUGCCAUUCUUGGGCCAGCUGUGUGCCUGGGCACAGGGUGCAGUGCUGCAAGCAGGGGAGGGGAUGGAGCCUGAUGACGUUUGUCUUCAGUGAAGCCGCUAAAGCCUCCAGCUCUCAAGCGGAGGCUCCACCCAGAGCGGAGUCUCCCUGGGCUGGAGGAGUGGUGGGGGGGUCCCGCUUCCAUGUCCCCACCCAGCCAACUGCCAGCGGUGGACCCAGCCUCAGCUCUGAGGCUUCCUUCUCUCCCCUCGCCCCUUAAGUCUCCUGUGGUCCUUCAUCUGCGAGGGUAUUGGCGGGGGUGGGGCUCAUCCAGUGUAGGAUUGUUAGAAAGAUGAGAGGAUUCUGGGAAAUUAGCAUAACCUGAUUUGUACUCAGGGGCAGUGCUGGAAGGAAAGGGAUUUGGGCAGCUUCUGCCCCUAAAUGAUGCCAGGGGGUGGGAGAUAGGGGGAGGGGGGCAAAGACGGCCAAGCCCUGCCCAGAAGUCAAGAAAGAGAGCAGCCCUUACCUAUUAAAGUUCAUGCCAAGCUGUCUCCACCACAGCCAGACAAGCCUCUCAUGGGCUGGGGACAGAGAUGGGGUGCGGGGGUAAGCGGCUGGAGGUCAGCGGGCAGGUUGGACCCGGGCACCUCGGAGUCAGAUGCUGGGCACUCCCUGGGGAUCCCCCCCAUCAGUGCUUGUCAGCCACCCCUCUCUUGCACCUGUCCAGCCUCCCGUUUUACAGCCCAGGGAACUGAGAGCCAAAGGCGCUGACCAUGCUUGGCCCAAACACCCCUGGAGUCAAUGUCCAGGCCCUUUGGACUAUGCUUUCCUGUGCAGCUCACCUGAGGUCCCCGUGGCCCGUGAGGCUCCUCCGUCUGUGUCCCCCACGCCUACUCCUGCAGGAGCCCUCAGAGCCUCUCCAGGAAUCGUUAAUACCCGUCAGCAGCAAGCAAACAAACUCCCCGCUUCAUUUAUUUCACAAGUCUCCCGAUUUAAUUAGGUUUUCCAGUUUUCUGCCUGUCCUGGGCCAAUCACUCCUUAAAACAGUGGAGAAUUCAUUUGCACCUGCUGUCAGAAAGCGGCUCUCCCCAGUUAGAAAAAUAAUUAAGCCAUCAUCACACAUCAGGGGUAAUGAAUCACCAUUUCUCACUCAGUUCGCAGGUCGUUUGUUUCCCCUGCAUUGGGAGGGAGGUGCAGACUAAAUUUGAGCAGCUGCCAGUGGAUCCCUCUCCCUUGCCACCCUUCCCUCUCACCUCUCCCAGAGACCCCUCUUUCUCCUUGAGCCGUGUGGCUGGCUCGGCCACCUCCAAGGACACAAGGCCCUCCUAGGGUCUCUACCCUGGACUCCAGUUGGCAGCUGGUAGACCCAUCACUCCAUCUCUCCCUGUGUCAUCACGUGGUCCUCUCCCGGUCUCAAGUGUCCCUUUCCUUUUCCUCUUCCUGGUGUCUAGGGUCUCUGUCCCUGUCAUUGGGCUUAUGGUCCACCCUAAUCCAGGAUGAUCUCAGCUGGAGGUCCUCACCUUAAUUACAUCUGCAGGCUCUGCUUCCGCAUGAGAUCCCCUUUACAGGUCUUAGAGCUUAGAACAUGGACAUAUUGUUUGGGGGUGGGGGGUGUAGGAGACACACUUCAACCCACCAUGGGUUCAACUCCUGAAGCUUGUGUUCCGUAGAUGCUCGCACACCUGGACACCUCCAGCCUCCCAGGAGACUCUUCAUCUGUCACACCCAGCAACCUGGCCCCCUUUUUCAGACAAACUCCAUCUCAGGACAGGCAGCCCAGCCAUUUGGGGGCCUGGGGCAGGCGUGUCAAGCCACCACAUUUGGGUCUGGCUUUCAGUCCCACAGUGAUAUCUGAGUGGACACUGCCCCUAACUCACUAGGCAGGUGCCCCAGGGCUCAUAGACAGGCCCCCACUCUGGAAGCUCCCAGUCAUGGAGCCGGGUCGGCAGUGCCUGGACACCGGCACUGGGAUCAAAGGCAGGAUGAAGAUGGGCUGAGGCGCUGGGGAUCGUAUGGGGUGUCCUCUGCUUUAAAAGUGACAGAAAAAGAAUCCAGGUCCCCUCUUGCUGUUGCAGAAACCAUGGCAGCAGAAAGAGACAAACGGCACUUGGAGAUGCGGAAUAGCCAGGUUUAUUCAGCACCAGUGUGGGCUCAGCGGAGUCACCUCCAGAGUCUGAGCACCAGGUCUUUGUUCUGGGUAACUUUUAUACAAUACAGACCUCUGGGUCUUAAGGUUUUCCGGCUCAAGCAGUCCUGGCCCUCCCCACCCCUUUCCCAGGCAGACAGAGUUCCUGCCUAAGAAGCUGAGCAAGCAAGAUUACAGAAGCGAAACUGGUUAGCAGUGCUUGGAGCAUGGUUAGCAGGGCUGCUAGCAAGGACACGAGGCCCGGAAUUGCUACAAGGUCACAAGAAGCGUGGUAUGUGGCGAGCAGAGCUGCUGACAGGCACGUAGCUGCCUUUUCAGCGGGGGGUUGUUGCUCUAGUUAAAACUCUUACUUCGUUCCUAUUUUCGCCCCCUCCCUCUGCCCCCAAACACAGGGUCUCAGAUGGGAACACACAUAGGGUGCUCCAGAGGCCCUUCUGGGGGGUGGCUAAGAGCCGGGGAACCUCCAGAGAUGAGAGGCCAUGCCUGGUGGCCCAAGCCUCACUCCCUAAAGAAGGCAGGCCAGCAGGAGACUCUAGGCCACCGCAAGGAAGAGGGUAUGUGAGCGUGCCCCUUGCAGGCUCAGAGCCCCCAAUCUCGUUUAAUAAACUCGGAAAAUCCUUUGCAUUUUGUUGACCCUCCAAAGGUGGUGUUCUUGACUGACGGACGGAUUGCAUGUGCUCCCGUGGUUCUCGAAGGAGUCUUUCCUGUGGCACUGACUAGUUUUCUUGCUUUUUCUUACCUUUCUCCCUAUUUUGGUUGAGGUAACCACCUGUUCAAGGUGGUAGUACCCAUGUCCCGCCACUUGGUGGCGCAGGCUAGCCACCAGCUAGGAGACCUCAUUCCCAAGGUUUUAGCUUCUUCCUCUUUGAACACUGGGUAUGAAUUCAUCAGCCCGCUGAAUCCUUGUCAUUCUAGAACCAGGCCCUGGGGUGAGCCCGAUCGGGCUGACAAUUGUGGAAGCAGCGUUCAAGAGACGUUAAGGCUGCAAAUGUAAGAAAGCGCACCUGGUUUCCCCUGUUUUGGAAGUAGUUUUUUUAAAUGUGUUUUUGUUUUAUUUUGUCUGAAGGAGGUUUUCUUGGCAUCAAGGAGACUUCCCCCCUCCCCCUGCAUGGGGGCGACUUUCAGGGAUCAAGCCCAGCUCAGGAGAGUGGACAGUGGGCUUCAGUUUUGGCUUCCGAGGUGGCUUGGCUCUGAGGCAGAGACCCUCCCAGGGCAGGGCGGUCAGGAGCUGGGAGAGGUCCUGGGAGAAGCCCUGCCCCAGUCGACAGGGGUUUGUGCAGCAGCUGCUACAGGCAGGGACCCACUACCUGUGAGACGGUCCCGGGGGUCACUCUUGUACCCAGGAGGGAGCUGGGAGCGUGGGGGCGUCCCACUUACCAAAAUAUCCACCUAGGACCACUGGGCACACCCCACAGUUGGUGCUUCUGUAUCUGCGGGUUCCACAUCUGUGGAUUCAACCAACUUCCGAACAAAAAAUAUUUGGGAAAAAAAUUCAGGAAAGUUCCAGAGGGCACAACUUGGAUUUACCUCACCUUGGCAACUGUUACAGAGCAUUGCAUCAUGUUCAGUAUUCUAAGUAACCUAGAGGUGAUCUGAGGUAGGCGGGAGGAUUGCGGGGGUCAAAUGGGAAUACCACGCCAUUCUCUGAGUAUCCGUGGCUGUUGGUGUCCACGGGGGUCCUAGAACCAGUCCCCCAAGGAUACCGAGGGACGCCGGUACUGCGGCGGUCUGUCUGUGCCCCCUGGCAUCCUUCGUUCCGCCGUCUGUCCUGGUGCCACCCACUUGCCUCCGUCUGCACUCUGGGAGCCCUGAAGUCAGUGAGCCUGGGUUUGGGAGGCCCUCGGUUCACCUCUUCACUGUCAGACUUUCCCCCACUCCACACCCCAUCCCCAGGGACGCCAUCCCGAUCCCACCAGUGAUGCCGAGCCUGGCUGGAGGCCUGGAAAGCACGGCCGUUCUCGCCACUUCUCUGACAAACAUCUGCGGGUCAGGCUGCGGGGCGGUGGGUCCAGUGAACUCUCUGCGCUCCAGGAGCUGGACUUGGACUGUCCCGCCUUCGAGAAGGAAAACUUCUCCAAGUCUGUUCGCCAGCUGGGCCAGUCGUGGUCCAGGAGGGGCCCCGGCUUGUGCGUAACCUGAGAAGCUGAGGCAGCUGCUGAGGAGCGUCAGGGGCGGGUUUCUUCCCGCAAAGUUAAGGGGAGAUUUCUUUCUUUCCCCUUUCUGUCUGCUGGGUACUUGCCCGGCCACCAUGUGGGAUUUUUGCCCCAUUUAAUGACCCUUGAUGGUUCAGGGCUCUCCCUGCACCACUGCCAUGAAAAGGUAAAACCAGGAGUUCUCGUUGUGGCUCAGUGGUUAACGAACCUGACUAGUACCCAUGAGGAUUCGGGUUCCAUCCCUGGCCUCGCUCAGCGGGUUAAGGAUCUGGCAUCGCCGUGAGCUGUGGUCUAGGUCACAGACGUGGCUCGGAUCUGGUGUUGCUGUGGCUGUGGUGUAGGCCGGCAGCUGUAGCUCCGAUUCAGCCCCUAGCCUGGGAACUUCCAUAUGCCGCAUGUGCAGCCCUAAAAAGAC
rnacentral:lncRNA from 1 species